AUCAUGAUUAUAUUGUGUCUAGGACUACCCUAUUUAUCAUGUUAUCUCCCUCUCUCAAUCUCAACUCUGUCAUUUUGAAGAAGUGUGGGAAAGCAAAUGAUUUGAUAUCAUACAGGUCGGACAACAACUAUGCAAGUAUAAACUACCCAGUCAUACAACGUUUAAACUAAAAAGAAAGUACCACUUGUUUUCUUUUGAUAACAUUUCUAGUUCACAUUUCACCUCGAAUAACAAUACCAUGUACCGAUCCCAUCAAUCAAUAUUGAAUAAUUUGCAAGUCGGGACAAGUUGUAUUGGUUAAAUAUCGAGAUAAAGGUCAUGGCCAAUAAUUUUCAUUACAAUUGCAAGGCCAAGCAAAUGAAAUCGCUCACAAGUCGUACCAGACAGCUAAUGGCGUGAAACAGAGUAACAAUUAGUCUAUCACGUUUUUCUCCCUGCACCUUCCUUUCCCAAAACAAUACAAACCAUUUACUAGCGCCACAAUACAACUGAUUCUGUGCAAUUGCAAUCCAAGGCCAUAUGCAAUGACUGUGAACUCAAGUUCACAACUAAAUCACGGGGAAUGACUUAACUAGGUAGUGUAUAACAUUAACAAAUAUAAUUUUUUUUCUAAAAUGACUAAAUACUAACCAAAAAUGUUCAUGGGAAUGACAUUCCUGGGUAUAAUAUUCAGGGGAUUUUGCUCCUGGGAAAGAAAUAGUAUCCUAUGAAACACUCACCCACUGAGAUAAGUUUAGUACCUAUUUUUAACAUCAGAGAAAUUUUUUUGGCAUAGGUAAAUUACGACAAAAAAAAAUUGAGUAGAGAGCAAGACUUACAACUUCCUGAUCGUGAUUCGAGAGUACAACUCAAAAUCAGAACAAUUAUUGGGAGAAAGUAAAUAGUUUAACCGCUUAAACAGAGCAGGGGAAUGAUACAUUUAUUUUUUCUUUUAUUUCCUACAAAUCCCUUUUGGCUUGACACACUUACCAGGAACUCAAGAAGGGACUUAAACAGAAUAUAAACAAGAUAAAAUUCAUCAUAGAAAUUUGAGCACAAUUAGUAUCAUAACUCGGUGCCCUGAGAAAUAGAAAUGGCUCAUGCAUUUGUGACCUGGUAAUAAGAGCGAGAUCUUGAUGGCUGAGACGAAUGUUUGGAUGGCUGUCCAUGAUCAUUUGAAUUUGAUUUCUUGGGAGCAGAAGCAUCGAAAGGUUCUCGCCUAGAAUGAUGUGGUGGCGGCGGGUUUCUCUUAUCUCCACCAUCAGAGGUUACUCUGUUCCUGUCCCUUUCUCUUUCUUGUCUACCAUCCCUUCUAUAUCUCUUGGGACUACAGCCCACAACCCCAAAAACAACAUUCAAAAACGAAACCAUCUAUGUAUUUUCCCCAUAACUGUAAGCAAUGCAUUUAAAAUUAAGCCAACCCCCGUGUAAUCGAAAAAAAAAACAUGGAAUUGCGAUAUUGGAACAGUUAACCCAAUGCACUACGUGAAAUGUUAGGUUCAAGUGAAAAGCAGACAAUUGUUAUUAGGUUGAAAAUGGGAAUGGGAAUUGAAAUCGGAGUGAGAAGAGAGAGCACCUUGGUUCUUGAUCGAACUUGGAGUGGCGACGCUUGGAAUCAGAGUCUCGAUGAGACAUUAGGUUUUUUUCUGUCGAAAAUUGGAAAGGAUUAGGAUUAGGGCUAACCAUGUUUCAGUUUCAAAUAUAGUAAAAGUGAUUCAUUU
rnacentral:sRNA from 1 species